rnacentral:rRNA from 1 species
UACGUAGGGGGCAAGCGUUGUCCGGAUUUAUUGGGCGUAAAGAGCGUGUAGGCGGCCCCUUAAGUCCUGCGUGAAAUCCUGCGGCUCAACCGCAGACGGUCGUGGGAAACUGGAGGGCUAGAGUGCGGGAGAGGAGAGUGGAAUUCCCGGUGUAGCGGUGAAAUGCGCAGAUAUCGGGAAGAACACCCGUGGCGAAGGCGGCUCUCUGGGACGGUACUGACGCUGAGACGCGAAAGCGUGGGGAGCGAACAGG